CACACACACUCGGUUGCAGCCAUCAGUCAUCCUCUCAGUCUCAUCUAUUCCCUCCCUCCCUCCCUCCCUCCCUUGUCAUCUCCAUCUCUCAAUCUAUCCAGUCAGCCAGUCAAGGUUAGGCGUGGAGCUGGUUUAAAAAUAGUUCAAUAAACUGAGGAGGUAGACGGAGCACUCGUAGCAUACAGAGCAGCGCGCUCGCGACGGCGCUCGCCAUUCAUGUACAGGGAGAGGUGGCGGCAACAAUCCAAGAAAGCGCUGUAGGGAUCAAGGCUUAACUGAGAAGAGGUGAACUGCGAGUGACUGAACCAGGUAUAUCAGGGAGCUAAAAAUUUUGGUCCAAAUGACUGACAAUAAUGUUAGAUAAUAUAUAGUAUUAUUGGAGGGGCUCUCUGGGUGCCCCCUGUCAGUGCUGGGCCCUUAGAAUCUUCCUACUUCAUCCCCCCCCCCCCAGCGGCCCCUGAGGUAGAAAGAAGGAUAACAAGAGAAUGUAUGGUGGUGGACCUGACUAAUUGAGAGGCGAAGAAUUUAACAUUUUGGGAAACUUGUUGGAAUGGAUGGAAUAUAAAUGAUAAAGUUGGAUUGAGAGGGCAUCAAACUAAGUUUGGAUUUGGGAGAGAAUUGUGAGGUAAAGUGCUACUUUUGUGUUGAACUGGGUGUGAUUAGAUCAUUAGCCUACAACAAGGCAUUGCACCCAAUAAAUAUUAAAAGUGAAAUGGUGGUGACCAUUUGAAUUUCUAGGCACAUGUCCUUUUGUUUAUUUGAUGACAUAAACAGCAA